GUGUCUGAUUUGAGUUGUACAGCGUUUAAAAUGAUUUCCAUGUUUAAUUCACUGAUUAACGACCUCUAAUUUCUUCUGGCUCAUCCUAACACCUAACACCUAACUAUUUAUCUCUCAAAAUUUUACAUUAUCUAAUUAAUUAUUCUAUUUAUUUAUUUUUGCUUGAUUAAAAAAACAGUUACAACCGCUUUUUGUUACUUAUACUUCAAUAUGAAAGAACCAUAGUGAAAAGCUCUUUGGAUUCAAUCU
rnacentral:lncRNA from 1 species